rnacentral:rRNA from 1 species
GAUGAACGCUGGCGGCGUGCCUAAUACAUGCAAGUCGAGCGAACGGACGAGAAGCUUGCUUCUCUGAUGUUAGCGGCGGACGGGUGAGUAACACGUGGAUAACCUACCUAUAAGACUGGGAUAACUUCGGGAAACCGGAGCUAAUACCGGAUGAUAUUUUGAACCGCAUGGUUCAAAAGUGAAAGACGGUCUAGCUGUCACUUAUAGAUGGAUCCGCGCUGCAUUAGCUAGUUGGUAAGGUAACGGCUUACCAAGGCAACGAUGCAUAGCCGACCUGAGAGGGUGAUCGGCCACACUGGAACUGAGACACGGUCCAGACUCCUACGGGAGGCAGCAGUAGGGAAUCUUCCGCAAUGGGCGAAAGCCUGACGGAGCAACGCCGCGUGAGUGAUGAAGGUCUUCGGAUCGUAAAACUCUGUUAUUAGGGAAGAACAUAUGUGUAAGUAACUGUGCACAUCUUGACGGUACCUAAUCAGAAAGCCACGGCUAACUACGUG